rnacentral:snRNA from 1 species
AUCGCUUCUCGGCCUUUGGCUAAGAUCAAGUGUAGUAUCUGUCUUAUCAGUUUAAUAUCUGAUACGUCCCCCAUCGGGGGGACUAGACAUAUAUGGAAUUUUGUUUCGAACAGGGAGUCGGAAAGCGGGGGCUUGCUCCGUCCGCUCCACUGCAUCGACUCGGUAUUGCAGUACCCUCCCGAGAACGGUGCACCCUCU